AGUGCAUCUAAGUAUACAUGAAUAUACGUAUAAACAAAGCUUUUGUUUUUUUUUUUUUUUUUGAAAGGAGUGUAGCAAAACAAAACAAGAAAAGCAAUAUUUUGAUUUUGACAGGAUAAAAAGAUUAAAUGAUUUCAUAAAACAAUUUUACAUUUGCUAAUGAAAUUCAGGAGAUCAUCUAUGAGUUGAAAAUCUUUGGCCAUGAGGACAUCCGUGGAAGAUAAUGUGAUUUUCAUCCUCGAUCACAUUGCAGGUCUCGCAUAAACUGGAGUUGGAAAUACCAACACGGUGAAAAUAUUUUUUGGUAUAUGUAUGUCCAGUAAAAAGUCUAUUAAUGAUUUUUAUGUUUUCAGGUUUCAUGCUAGAGUUUUUAUACCAUGGUUGUUUGGGAGGAUUUGGGAAGAAGCGGAAGAAAUAAGAUCCUUUGUGCAGAGAAGUUUCUUUGAAAAGUUCAACAAAAUCGUUCCAGAGAUUUGCUUCAAUCUUUUGGAUUGCAUCUGUGACCGAGAGUUCAUAUGGUAUAACACAUCCAGCUUCCGUAGCUUGUUUUGCAUAGAAAUCGGCAGUUUCAUUUAAGGAAAUUCCAACAUGUGAUGGAACCCAAAUAAAAGUCACUUUGCAUAUAGAUGA